AGUUUGGAAGCAAGGCCAUUACAGGCCAAACAGUUGGGAGUAACUUCAAGUUUUUGUUCACAAUGCUUUUUUUUUAAAAUCCAGCAUGAGUUUUAUGUAUUUUGGGAUGUAUUUACUCCAUGAUCAGAUGUUGCUUUCAUGGAAAUGCACCAUUUUACUCCAUUGACCUUUAGAUAUACAUUGAUGUUAACAGACCAUUGCUAAAUAUAUGUCAGCAAAAGAUAAUAAGGGCUUAGUUUUAGGGUUGAAAACAUUUGCAAGAGUCACAACUUCAGUGCAAAAGCAAAAAAACAAAUCAAUCACAGUUG